UUAAUAUAUAAGCGUGACUUCACAGCUUAAUAUUUCAUCGCCAGUUCACCAGAGAAUGAAACCUUUGCUGCCUGUCACCUGUCUUCUGUAACCUGUCUCCUGC